ensembl:lncRNA
AAGCCCCUCCCCUUUUUGUCCCCACCCUUUUUGUCCCCUCGCUUUUUAAUAACCUCCCCCCCUUUUGUCCCCACCCCUUUUGUCCCCAUCUUUUAGGGCCCUCUCCUUUUGUCCCACCCUUUUCAGCCCUUCCCCCUUUAGCUCAACCCUUUUUGUCGUCCCCCCCCCCCAACUUUUGGGUGUCCCCCCCCCUUUGGGGACAAAUGGGGACAAACAGGGCCAAGGGNNNNNNNNNNNNNNNNNNNNNNNNNNNNNNNNNNNNNNNNNNNNNNNNNNNNNNNNNNNNNNNNNNNNNNNNNNNNNNNNNNNNNNNNNNNNNNCAAAUGGGGACGCUUUGGGGACGCCUUGGGGACAAAUGGGGACAAACAGGAACACUGUGGGGACACUCUGGGGACAAAUGGGGACAAACAGGGACAAUGUGGGGACAAAUGGGGACAAAUAGGAGCACGUGGAGACAAGGGGGGACACUGAGGACAAAUGGGGACAAAUGGGGACACCAUGGGGACAAAUGGGGACACCAUGGGGAUGAACAGGGACCCCUGGGGACAAAUGGGGACACUUGGAGACACCCUGGGGACAAAUGGGGACAUGUGGGGACGAACAGGGACACCUGGGGACAAAUGGGGACACCCUGAGGACAGAGGGAGACACUUUGGGGUGAAAUGGGGCACGGUGAGGACAAAUGGGGACGCUUUGGGGACGCCUUGGGGACAAAUGGGGACAAACAGGGACACCGUGGAGACACCCUGGGGACAAAUGGGGACAAAUGGGGACAAGCAGGGACCCCUGGGGACAAAUGGGGACACUUUGGGGACACCCUGGGGACAAAUGGGGACACUGUGGGGACAGAGGGAGACACUUUGGGGUGAAAUGGGGACAAAUGGGGACACUGGGGACAAAUGGGGACACUUUGGGGACACCCUGGGGACAAAUGGGGACACCAUGGGGACGAACAGGGACACCUGGGGACAAAUGGGGACACUGUGGGGUCAGAGGGAGGCACUUUGGGGUGAAAUGGGGCACGGUGAGGACAAAUGGGGACACUGUGGGGACAAAUGGGGACACGUGGUGACACCCCACAGCACCCAGCAAACCACCGCCGCCGGACGUCACCGCGCCGUGGGACUCUGCCUACCAAGGUACCGCCAGAACAGGGGGGGUUGGGGUGGGGUGACACCACAGGGUGACACCGGGUGACAGUGCCAGGGGUGGGGGGGUGACACCACAGGGUGACGCCAUCACGUGUCAGUGCUGGGUGACCACCGGGUGACACAACAGGGUGACACCACCAGGUGGUAGAGGGUGACAACUGGGUGACAGCACUGAGUGACGCUGUGGGGUGACAGCUGGGUGACAUUGCUGGGUGGCAACUGGGUGACAACUGAGUGACACUGCUGGGUGACACUGCUGAGUGAUGUUGCUGGGUGACACUGCUGGGUGACAACUGGGUGACACCACUGGGUGCCAUUACUGGGUGACAAAACUGAGUGACACUGCUGGGUGACAACUGGGUGACAACUGAGUGACACUGCUGGGUGACAACUGGGUGACAGCACUGGGUGGCAACUGGGUGACAACUGGGUGACAGCACUGAGUGACACUGUGGGGUGACAACUGGGUGACAUUGCUGGGUGGCGACUGGGUGACAACUGAGUGACACUGCUGGGUGACAGCUGGGUGACACCGCUGGAUGACAGCUGGGUGGCGUUGCUGGGUGACAGCUGGGUGGUGUUGCUGGGUGACAGCACUGGAUGACAACUGGGUGACACCGCUGGGUGCCAUUAAUGGGUGACAAAACUGGGUGACAGCACUGGGUGACAACUGGGUGCCAUUACUGGCUGCCAAAACUGGGUGACAGCACUGGGUGACAACUGGGUGACACCACUGGGUGCCAUUACUGGGUGCCAAAACUGGGUGACAGCACCGGGUGACGACUGGGUGACAGUGCUGGGUGACAACUGGGUGACAGCACUGAGUGACAACUGGGUGACAGUGCUGGGUGACACCACUGGGUGCCAUUACUGGGUGCCAAAACUGGGUGACAGCACCGGGUGACGACUGGGUGACAGCACUGGGUGACAAAACUGGGUGACAUUGCUGGGUGAUGUUGCUGGGUAACACUGCUGGGUGACACCGCUGGGUGCCAUUAUUGGGUGACAAAACUGGGUGACAGCACUGGGUGACAACUGGGUGACAC